GCUGAUUGAAAUCAACCAGUCUGAGUUAGUUCUCUUAGUUGGGGAGUUAUUUGGGUGGUAACGAAGCAGUGGACCAGGCAAUCAAUCGAGCACACCAUUGAGACAUGGAUCAACCUCCACUGAUUGACGGAGUAGUGCUGACUAAGAUUGACACCAUUGAUGAUAAACUGAUUGAAAUCAACCAGUCUGAGUUAGUUCUCUUAGUUGGGGAGUUAUUUGGGUGGUAACGAAGCAGUGGACCAGGCAAUCAAUCGAGCACACCAUUGAGACAUGGAUCAACCUCCACUGAUUGACGGAGUUGUGCUGACUAAGAUUGACACCAUUGAUGAUAAAUGAACAACUUUAUUUACCGUGUGGAACGUCAUCCCACCUCAUGAAUGGACUCCAC